rnacentral:rRNA from 1 species
UAAUACAGAGGGUGCAAACGUUGCUCGGAAUCAUUGGGCGUAAAGCGCGUGUAGGCGGCGCGGUAAGUCGGCUGUGAAAGCCCUCGGCUCAACCGAGGAAGUGCAGCCGAAACUGCCAAGCUAGAGUAUCGAAGAGGGUGGCGGAAUGCGCAGUGUAGAGGUGAAAUUCGUAGAUAUUGCGUAGAACACCAGUGGCGAAGGCGGCCACCUGGGAGACUACUGACGCUAAGACGCGAAAGCAUGGGGAGCAAACAGGAUUAGAUACCCUGGUAGUCCAUGCCGUAAACGAUGAGUACUAGGUGUUGCGGGUAUUGACCCCUGCAGUGCCGACGCUAACGCAUUAAGUACUCCGCCUGGGAAGUACGGCCGCAAGGCUA